GUACUCUUAGUUCAGUUGGUUAGAAUGCCAGAUUGUGACUCUGGAGGUCAUGGGUUCGAUCCCCAUAGAGUACCCCA
rnacentral:tRNA from 1 species